GCUAUACUUCAAACUUGAUUGAUUUAGUAGUUGAAAAACAAUCAUGUCCAAAAGAUUCAGCAGUGUAUGAAUCAAUUAGCUUUCUGACAUCAGGUGAAAAAAUUCUCACAAGACAGAGAACAAAAAACUGCCCGAUCGAUAUGCUUGCUAAAGAAUAAAAACCUAACCCACUAUGAAGUCACGUAAAAUAGAAAGAGAUAUCAAGGCUGAUAUGCAUCUUUUCCAAGAUGACCUGAAACUCUAGAAAAAGAAUUUGCCAGCAGGAAUACCUAUUUGUAUGGAAUCAAUCUUCCCAUCAUUUAAGUAUCAUUCACAAACCACGAAUCAUUCCCUAUAUUCACCACAAGCAUGGAAAUAGAAACCAUAGGUUACUGCAACUCUUUCUCAGUGCAGAUCAUUUCUAGUAUUUAUGAACUCGGACCAGAGCUCCUCCAAAGCAAUGAAGAUACUGGAUCUUGCCUGUUGAGGUUUUCCUAUCAAUCAAACAUCUGCAAGGAAAAUAAAUCCCAAAUUAACUCUGCAAAAAAUUGUAGAAAGAUUGGGUUAUGGGGUAACUGAAAGCAUGUGAAGGUGCCUAUUGCAGCUAAAUUCAAAAAUCAAAUUGCUACAGAAACCCCAUGGAAUUGUUUUACACAAUUCCCUUCAAAAAUAUUGUCAACUACGUAGCAACUAAAAAUUCCAUGAAAAUUAUUUAAAGAAAUGAUGCUUCAAAAGCAUCGCUUGUCUCCUUAAACGGCCAAUCAACAUUUGUAAUAUAAGGAAUCAUACAAAUCUGCUUGAUGUUUAGGUCUCAUUGGAUAGUUUGUUCAGCUCAAAAUGAUCUGGAAAACAAUAUCCUCCAAAAUUGAAAAAUAAAAAAAUAAAAUAGCAACUAACAAUAUAGCUUAGCUCAUAAUGACAAGAAAACUGGAAUCUAAAUCUGUUGAACAAUAUUAUGUAUAUCAUCAACUUUCUCUUCCCUAUUCUCAUUUGCAGUCAUGCCUCAUGCAACACUUGCAGAUGGUUCAAUCUCAUUACUAAAACUGUGUUGCUACACUAAUUAACUUCCAGAUCCAACUUACUUUCCUGUGAAUUCAAUCUUAAAUUAAAUCACGCAUAAAAAGAAAGAAUACUAUGUACAAUGUGAUGCUAGGAUAAAGAAGGAAAAUACUUCUGAUAUUUUCUUCUAUAUUUGUUCCUGGCUAUAUGCCUCCUAUUUAUAUUGGCUGCUUUCUCUGAAAAAAUUGAUCUAGAAAACACUUUGUUUAUGCAACCAAAGGGUUCAACUCGACUUCGAUACAGUCACAGCCUGGUUUACAAUCACAAGAUAGGGUUUUGAUUCUAUUUGCAAUAUAGGACUAGGGUUUCCAUAUGUCACGCAGCAAGGACGAAUAGAUAGAAGCUAAAAUUCCACAAGUGUGAUGAAAAGGGAAACUUCAGCAUAUGGCAAACUGGGAUACCAGCUCUAAUGGUACAGCAGAGGGACCAAACCCAAAAAAGAUGGAUAAGGAUGACUGAAAGGAGAACAACAGAUUUCUUUUAGCAUAAGUUGUAUAUGCUUGGGGCAUUCGAUUAACCAGACUGAGACCAAAUGGCAAGGGGUUUGUAGGCGAAACUUAAAAUCUGUUCAUGGCAAAGAACAUGACUAACAAAAUUUUUACAAAAGAGAGAUUUUGAUACAUCUGAUUGACCGCAUAACCUUGUUACAUAAGAAAGUUAACAAUUUGGUGACUUCAAGAUAAGGAAAUCAUAUUUUUUUGUAUCCUGCCGCCUUCUAUCAUCUCAUCACUAGAGUGAUUUAUGAGAAAGAAAUCUUAUCUAAUAAGGAGGUGGUUGCAGUCCCCUAAGCUCUCAAUGAAUGAAGAAAAAUUUUGAAGCAGAAAGUUCCCAAUCAAAAUGAUCAGUGACAAAUACAGAUUGUGGACAAGGUAGAUCUUGAGUUAAAGGUGCAGAAGGGGAAAGUCCAAAGAAGUUCCAAGUUGAAAGGUAAGAAGGGGCAUGCUUUAAGUGCCCUCAAAAGGGCUAACUAUAAGAAAGAUUGUUCUCUGUUGAAGAAAAUAAUGAACAGAAGGAGAACUACAAGUUCUACGAGUGUGUCCUCAGACAUGAGACGAAAAGACAAUGGUGGUUUCUGCAAGUAAUAGUGUUUAUCUUUCUCCCUGGACGUUAAGUUCAGCUUGUUUGUCUCACUAUAUAGUAAAAGAGAUUGAUCUAAUACUUACAAACAGUGUGAUACUUGCAGUAUUGAGCCAGGUGAUAACUGUUAACGCAAGGCGAUUGGUAUAAGGGGAAUCAAAAUUAAAAUGUUAGAUGAGGUGAUCAAAAUCUUGAAAAAUGUCAACAUUGGCCGGGAAUUGAGAAAAAUUUGAUUUCCCUGGGCUAUUUAGAAAAGACUGGGCUCUUUAGAAUGACUUUGUAUGGUUUUUUUUGUGUAGAUCCUGUAAAUGGAAUCCUAAAGAUUACCAAAGGUCUCGUGGUUGUAAUGAAAGGGGAAUCAAGUAGAAAAUAAUUUGUACAAGUUGGUUGGUACUACGGUUAUACUUGAUACUUCAAUUGUAUCAUUAGGAUCUGACACUGAUGACUACUCUCUGACAUAUGGAUCAUAUUGGCAAGCAAGACAUGGUGGAACUUCACAAAAGAAAGCUGCUGAAGGGGUUAAUUGUUUUUGUCCGUUUAAUUUGAGAACACUAGAUCCUUAGGAAACAAAAAGGGAUGAGCUUCGCAUCUUCUCCAGCCAAGAUAUCAGCAAAGGGUAUGGACAAGUAGAGAUUGGAUUAUUUUAUGCUUAGACUAAUGAGCGGUCUAAGUUGGAUUUCCAAGUCAACAAAAUGCAUCUUUGUCAGUUACCAUAAGGGACUUGAAGGUUGAAAGUCACAGAUUGUCGGAUCUGAAGGCAGAGAAAAUGACUGUCAGUAGAGAUGUAGUCUUUAAUAAGAGAACAAUGCUAAAGAAACAUCCAGCUUUAUUCUUUCUGAUGUACAAGGUUACAAGGGAGAGAGGGAGCUCAGGAACUUAGAAAAUCAAAAUCGAUCAACAAAUCAGUCAAAAAAUGAUGGCAGUAGUGAUACCCAAUUCUCGUAGUGAGCAACUAGAAGACCCAAUUUUACAACAUUUUCAUCAACAGACCUAAAAGCAUUUAUAAUGCUCCUAUGAUCUAUGGGUUUGAGAAUGUAACAUUUGAUGCACCAUUAACUAGUUGUGAAGAACCUUGUUCAUUUAAGGAAGCAAUUUCUGGUCUAGAGAAAGAUUAGUGGAAAGAAGUUAUGGUUCAUUAGGCGUCCAAUGACAUUUUCUUUCUUGGAACUUAAAAUACAUUUGUCAGGAACAAUAGUGUUGUACUCUUAUUUCCAAACUUAAAAUAUUUUUUUUUGAAAUAAAAUUUCCAAGCUUAAAAUAAUAUGUCCUAUAUAUAUAAGUUCUAGGGAUAAGAGAAGGAAAAGUACAAUUAAUUACAAAGAGUAUAUUUUACUUUAAUACCUUUUAACCUAUUUUAACCCUAUUUAUACAUAAAGUAGAUUCUUUAAUAUUCCCCCUCAAGUUGGGAUGGAUGUUAUUCAUCACCCACUUGUAAAUGAUAAUCUGGAAUGUUGGACUAUUAAAGCCUUUAGUCAACAUAACUGUAAGUUGUAACUUGGUUGGCAUAUGAGGUGUACAUAUCAAACUAUUAUCCUUAAUAAAAUGCCAAUCAACUUCAAUGUACUUUGUUCUAUUAUCUAUAGAGGAUUGUAAGAAUACUUAUCGCCGAUUGUUGUCACAGUAAAGGCGCACUGGGUUAUCCCACUUGACUCUUAAAUCUUCUAAGAAUCUUUCAACCAUAGUAACUCACAUACCAUUUAUACCAUUACUCAGAAUUUUGAUCUACAGUAACCUGAAGUAGAUCUUUCUAUCCAUCACUGAUCCUGCAUAGUAUCAGUGUAAACUUCAAGGAUCAACCUAUCAUUCCUUUUAAACAUCAAGGAUUUAAAUUUUGAGAAAAGAAGAAAUGUUAUCUCAAAGUGAGGUAACAUCCCUAAUCAGUGUCGAACAAUGCAGGAGGGGGAAUAUACUACAACUCCGCACGACUAACAACUCAAUAAUGGUAAUCAAAGGCUCCAAACCAUGUCAACAAGGAAAAGAGUCAAGUAACAAUUAGAACCUAGAAGGGAAUAAGGAUGAUUUGUGGUGUACCUUCGGACACAUUAAGGAAAAAUGCUAGAAAUUUCACAAAAAGCCCACUACAUCAGGUAAAGAAUGGGGGUACGAGAACUCCCCAUAGAAGCCUUACGGACAGGUCCAUGCGCUUAAUUAACAGGAAGAAGAGAAACACACUUAGCGAAUUCAAGGUCGAAAUUGAACGAUUUAUAGUAGACUUGAGGACGUAAAGAAGCCCACAGGUAAAAGCCUGUUAGCACAUUCAGGUAUGUGAGAAUCACAUAGUUUAAAUAUCUAAGAUACACCAUUUGAUAAAUCAUGGAUUAUAGACUCAAGUGACGAU
rnacentral:lncRNA from 1 species